rnacentral:rRNA from 1 species
UACGAAGGGGGCUAGCGUUGCUCGGAAUCACUGGGCGUAAAGGGUGCGUAGGCGGCUUUCUAAGUCAGGGGUGAAAUCCUGGAGCUCAACUCCAGAACUGCCUUUGAUACUGGAGAGCUUGAGUCCGGAAGAGGUGAGUGGAACUCCGAGUGUAGAGGUGAAAUUCGUAGAUAUUCGGAAGAACACCAGUGGCGAAGGCGGCUCACUGGUCCGGUACUGACGCUGAGACGCGAAAGCGUGGGGAGCGAACAGG